rnacentral:rRNA from 1 species
GACGAACCGAGCGAACGUUGUUCGGAAUCACUGGGCUUAAAGGGCGCGUAGGCGGGUGCUCAAGUCCGUGGUGAAAUCCUCCGGCUCAACCGGAGAACUGCCUCGGAUACUGGGCGUCUCGAGUGUGGUAGGGGUAUGCGGACUAUCGGUGGAGCGGUGAAAUGCGUUGAUAUCGAUAGGAACUCCGGUGGCGAAGGCGGCAUACUGGACCACCACUGACGCUGAUGCGCGAAAGCCAGGGGAGCAAACGGG